UACGAAGGGGGCUAGCGUUGCUCGGAAUCACUGGGCGUAAAGCGCACGUAGGCGGAUUGUUAAGUCAGGGGUGAAAUCCUGGAGCUCAACUCCAGAACUGCCUUUGAUACUGGCAAUCUCGAGUUCGGGAGAGGUGAGCGGAACUGCGAGUGUAGAGGUGAAAUUCGUAGAUAUUCGCAAGAACACCAGUGGCGAAGGCGGCUCACUGGCCCGAUACUGACGCUGAGGUGCGAAAGCGUGGGGAGCAAACAGG
rnacentral:rRNA from 1 species